UGACCACUCAAGCCUUGGCUUGGAAUUGGGGUUCGCGGUUCCGCGGCUCUUAAAAUCAGUGGCGGUGCCGUCUGGCUCUAAGCGUAGUAAUUCUCUCGCUACAGAGUCCGGGCGGUUGCUUGCCAGAAUCCCCCCAACUUUCAUA
rnacentral:misc_RNA from 1 species